UAUUUAUAAAAAAUUAUUUUAUUCCCGAUAAAAAAAGAUCUAUUCUAAAUUUUAUAUAGUAAUAAACAAAUCAAUGUAGAAUUAUUGAUAAAAAAACUUAGGAUAGAGGUGAAAUUCCUACAAUUUUUUUGAUAUCUGGAUUGAGCCGAAACGAAUUUAGUUCUUUAAGUUAGUCUAGGAGUUAUAAGAUUUCUAGAAAAAUAGCAUCAUAGUUAUUAUCAAUUAAAGUUGGAAUAAUUUUCUUACUUAUACCUUUAAAUUACAAUAUAAAUUUUUUUUAUCUAUUUUUAUAGGCUCAAUUUUAAUUUAAAUUGAAAUUAGUUAAUAGAUAAUGUUUAAAUUAGUAUUUCAUUAUUAUAUUUAAUAAAGGAACUCGGCAAAAAGCUUUUUCAACUGUUUAUCAAAAACAUAGCUUGGAGAAUAUUUCUGUUUAUUCUAGGUAAUAUCUGCCCAGUGAAAAAUUUUAACGGCCGCAGUACACUGACUGUGCUAAGGUAGCAUAAUAAAUUGGCUUUUAAUUGAAGUCGGGUAUGAAAGGAAACAUGAAAAAUAUCUGUCUCUUUUUAAUAUUUAAAAAUUCCUAAGAAAGUGAAAAUUCUUUCAAAAACUACGUUAGACGAGAAGACCCUAAGAAUUUUUAUAAAUUAAACUGUAGAAAUUUUAAAAUUUUUGUUGGGGCAACAAUUUUGGCGAACCAAAUAGUAUUUUAUUUUCAUACCAAAAAGUUUUAAAAAGGAUAAAAUUACCUUAGGGAUAACAGCAUAAUUAUAUUUUAGAUUGUGACCUCGAUGUUGGACUAAGGACUUAAAUAAAUAGCCUUUAUUUAAGCUGGUUCUGUUCGAACUAUUUACCUUA
rnacentral:rRNA from 1 species